GGUGAACGCUGGCGGUAGGCCUAACACAUGCAAGUCGAACGGCAGCACAGUAAGAGCUUGCUCUUACGGGUGGCGAGUGGCGGACGGGUGAGGAAUACAUCGGAAUCUACUUUUUCGUGGGGGAUAACGUAGGGAAACUUACGCUAAUACCGCAUACGACCUACGGGUGAAAGCAGGGGAUCUUCGGACCUUGCGCGAUUGAAUGAGCCGAUGUCGGAUUAGCUAGUUGGCGGGGUAAAGGCCCACCAAGGCGACGAUCCGUAGCUGGUCUGAGAGGAUGAUCAGCCACACUGGAACUGAGACACGGUCCAGACUCCUACGGGAGGCAGCAGUGGGGAAUAUUGGUCAAUGGGCGCAAGCCUGAUCCAGCCAUACCGCGUGGGUGAAGAAGGCCUUCGGGUUGUAAAGCCCUUUUGUUGGGAAAGAAAAGCAGCAGGUUAAUACCCCGCUGUUCUGACGGUACCCAAAGAAUAAGCACCGGCUAACUUCGUG
rnacentral:rRNA from 1 species